GGCAGAUUGAGGGACGAGCUGAUAUUAAAGCUGUUGCCUCUAUAUCUGCGGGCAAUGAUGAGCUUGUUGGAGAGAUGAUUGCCGAUGCUAUUGACAAAGUUGGCCCUGAUGGUGUUCUCUCCAUUGAGUCCUCCUCGUCUUUUGAGACGACUGUUGAAGUAGAAGAAGGGAUGGAGAUUGAUCGGGGCUACAUUUCCCCACAAUUUGUCACAAACUACGAGAAGAUGAUUGUGGAAUUUGAGAAUGCU
rnacentral:misc_RNA from 1 species